GCCAGUGUGGCUCAGUGGAUAGAGCGUUGGCCUGUGAACUGAAAGGUCUCAGGUUCAAUUCCGGUCAAGGGCA
rfam:Myotis lucifugus cont2.52709, whole genome shotgun sequence.